GAGUCGUUAGCUCAGUUGGUAGAGCAACGGACUUUUAAUCCGUGAGUCGACGGUUUA
rnacentral:tRNA from 1 species